GUGAGGAAUAUUGGUCAAUGGGCGGGAGCCUGAACCAGCCAAGUCGCGUGAAGGAAGAAGGAUCUAUGGUUCGUAAACUUCUUUUGCAGGGGAAUACAGUGCAGGACGUGUCCUGUUUUGUAUGUACCCUGAGAAUAAGGAUCGGCUAACUCCGUGCCAGCAGCCGCGGUAAUACGGAGGAUCCGAGCGUUAUCCGGAUUUAUUGGGUUUAAAGGGUGCGUAGGUGGUUUGAUAAGUCAGCGGUGAAAGUUUGCAGCUUAACUGUAAAAAUGCCGUUGAAACUGUCGGACUUGAGUGUAAAUGAGGUAGGCGGAAUGCGUGGUGUAGCGGUGAAAUGCAUAGAUAUCACGCAGAACUCCGAUUGCGAAGGCAGCUUACUAAGCUACAACUGACACUGAAGCACGAAAGCGUGGGGAUCAAACAGGAUUAGAAACCCCGGUAGUCC
rnacentral:rRNA from 1 species